CAGCCACUGGUUGGCUGGGUGCCCUUAUCUCCUGGAGGUCUCCGGUUCCUCUUUGUGACAUUGAGAUACAUAGUACCAACUUCAGAGCUUCUUGUGAUGAAAGGAGCUGGCCUGUUCAAACAGGCUGGGAGAGGACGUGCUCAAUGGGUACUGCUGUGUCCUGAGAUCUGGCUGCCCUUAAACUUGUGGCUGUCCUCCUGAUUUUGCUUUCUGAAUGCUGGGAUUGCAAGCGAGAAUGAGUACUAUCACUCUCAGCAGCCCUUCAAAAGGUCUGACCCGGACCUAGGGAUUCUCUGGCACCACCAGGCCUGGGGUUCCUGGCUGCCUGAGACUUCUUUCCAGCAGCAUCUACAUUGGACUAGCCUGACUCCAUCUGGCCGCUGGGCUGCAGCAAAGAGCUUCCCUUGACGCUUUCAACAGGACUUAAAAAAAAAAAAUAGUAGAAAACCUUUUUUGGAUUGCUGCCUGCGGCAGACACAGUUUAAAUUAACUUAAACCAUUUUCUCCAAACCGCUCCCCCCCUUUACUGAUCCUUUUUCACGGAGGAGGGAAUAGAAAGCCUUUUCAGGAAAAAGCUUCAGGAAGAGCCUAUCUUUCCGCUCUCCAGAGGAUGCCAGGCCAGGAGAUGCUAAAGUUUGCAGCGAGCGAAGCAGGGAAGUGGCUUUUAAGGAGGAAUGGGAAAGAACUCGGGUGUAGCGCGUGGGGCCCUGGGGGAGAGCGCGAGGUCCCGCCGCACCGCCGCGUGUGGUCGCUAGGGGGCACCCGGGUCCCGUGCCUGCCAGAGCCAGAGCAGCAACGGUGAGGAGGCUGGUGCCGAAGCCUGCAAAGCCUGCCAAGCCUGCCACCCGACCCCGCGCUCGGCAGUCGCUUCCUAUGACCCCAGCAAGCCCAGCGCGGCGGCUCGCGCUCCUCCCUCCCAUCGUACCUGUUCCAUUUCUUUGUCAGACCUAUGCGUAGCUCCCCUCCCUCUCUCCUUCCCUUCCUCCCUCCCUCCUUCCCUUUCUCCCCAUUUCUUUCCUCCAUUCCUGCCGCUCAUUCUUUUACAGUGUCUUCCACCUACCCAUGCUCCCCUCCUCCCAAGCACUCUUCCUUCCCCCUUUUGCUCUCUCGCUUCUGGAUUCUGGAUUUGGCCUGAAUAACUUCAGAUUUUCUGCCAGCUGACUCGACCAGAGAGGUCAGCUUGUCUGCACCCCAGACCAGUCUCCGCGGCUGUGUGAGAAUGUGAGAUGGAGGCCUUCCGUGUAUAGGGGAGGCUCCGUCCCUCCCUGGAUCCGCAUUCCAGCUGUGUCUGAGAUCUCCAGGAAGCUUUAAAACAACGCGGAGCGCCAGGUUGAGCAUAAAGAUGACCUUUCAAUCGAUGACGAUGACGUAUUGGAGAUUUGCUGAGAUAUGGUCCCUGUGGACUUAGGAGCUCCUGGUUUGUGGCUGCUCAGAGGAGCCGAGAGAUCUGAGGAUAAAUGCAGGAUCCACAGAGGGAAAGGAGAAGCCUCGGAAUGUGGUAAAGAGGAAGCUCGCAUGGCCCCUUCCAGGAAAAUCAAGUGAAAUUUCUGGAAUAAAGGUUAAAGUGGCUGCUGUA